rnacentral:rRNA from 1 species
UACGUAGGUGACCAGCGUUGUCCGGAUUUACUGGGCGUAAAGAGCGCGCAGGCGGUCGUUCAAGUCGAGCGUGAAAGCCCCCGGCUCAACUGGGGAGGGUCACUCGAUACUGAUCGACUCGAAGGCAGAAGAGGGAAGCGGAAUUCCCGGUGUAGUGGUGAAAUGCGUAGAUAUCGGGAGGAACACCAGUGGCGAAGGCGACUACCUGGCCUGUUCUUGACGCUGAGGCGCGAAAGCUAGGGGAGCAAACGGG